GAGUUUGAUCAUGGCUCAGGAUGAACGCUAGCGGCAGGCUUAACACAUGCAAGUCGAGGGGUAUAGGUUUUCGGACCUAGAGACCGGCGCACGGGUGCGUAACGCGUAUGUAAUCUACCUUUUACAGAGGGAUAGCCCAGAGAAAUUUGGAUUAAUACCUCAUAGUAUAAUGACUCGGCAUCGAGAUAUUAUUAAAGUUCCAACGGUAAAAGAUGAGCAUGCGUCCCAUUAGCUAGAUGGUAAGGUAACGGCUUACCAUGGCGACGAUGGGUAGGGGUCCUGAGAGGGAGAUCCCCCACACUGGUACUGAGGCACGGACCAGACUCCUACGGGAGCAGCAGUGAGGAAUAUUGGUCAAUGGGCGCAAGCCUGAACCAGCCAUGCCGCGUGCAGGAUGACGGUCCUAUGGAUUGUAAACUGCUUUUGUACGGGAAGAAACACUCCUACGUGUAGGAGCUUGACGGUACGUAAGAAUAAGGAUCGGCUAACUCCGUGCCAGCCGCCGCCGUAAC
rnacentral:rRNA from 1 species